rnacentral:tRNA from 1 species
GCGGGUAAAUCAGGGGAAUCGAUGGACGACUGCAAUCGCACUGCAGAGGUCAGGGGUUCGAAUCCCCUCAGCUCCACCA